UACGUAGGUGGCAAGCGUUAUCCGGAAUUAUUGGGCGUAAAGCGCGCGUAGGCGGGCUUUUAAGUCUGAUGUGAAAGCCCCCGGCUCAACCGGGGAGGGUCAUUGGAAACUAGGAGACUUGAGUGCAGAAGAGGAGAGUGGAAUUCCAUUUGUAGCGGUGAAAUGCGCAGAGAUAUGAAGGAACACCAGUGGCGAAGGCGGCUCUCUGGUCUGUAACUGACGCUGAUGUGCGAAAGCGUGGGGAUCAAACAGG
rnacentral:rRNA from 1 species